CGUAGCAGCACGUCAUGGUUUGUAGUGAUAGUAAAGAUGCAGACCAUGAAGAGCUGCUGCU
ensembl:miRNA